rnacentral:rRNA from 1 species
GAUGAACGCUGGCGGCGUGCUUAACACAUGCAAGUCGAACGAACGGAGGAGAGCUUGCUCUCCAAAGUUAGUGGCGGACGGGUGAGUAACGCGUGGGUAACCUGCCCUAUGCAGGGGGAUAACGUUUGGAAACGAACGCUAAUACCGCAUAAACUAUCGAGUUUCGCAUGAAACUUAUAGCAAAGAUUUAUCGGCAUAGGAUGGACCCGCGUUGGAUUAGCUAGUUGGUGAGAUAACAGCCCACCAAGGCGACGAUCCAUAGCCGGCCUGAGAGGGUGAACGGCCACAUUGGGACUGAGACACGGCCCAAACUCCUACGGGAGGCAGCAGUGGGGAAUAUUGCACAAUGGGCGCAAGCCUGAUGCAGCAACGCCGCGUGAAGGAUGAAGGUCUUCGGAUUGUAAACUUCUAUCAGUAGGGAAGAAUAAAUGACGGUACCUAACUAAGAAGCUCCGGCUAACUACGUGCCAGCCGCCGCUGUAAGAC